GAAGUAUGAGAGUAUUUAAGGAAGAGCCGUAUUAAUUAGUUAGAAGAAUAAUAACCGUAGGAGAGAGAGGGAAAAAAAGGAAUGAAUAAACGAGUGCUUGCCUUGUUACUAGCACUAGCUGUUCUUAUAGACCAUGUGCAGGAGUCGGAGGCAGGGUGGUUUCGCAAACAGGUGGAAAAGGUGAAAAAUUUCGGAAAGGGUGUUGCGAACACUGCUAAAAAUGUUGGAAGAAUCGUCAAAGACGGUGCAAGAACUGUAAAAGAAAGUGUGAAAAAUACAGCCAAGAAAGUGAAAGAAAAAAUCGGAUGAAGAUCAGGGAAGACAACCGUAGCAAAAACCUCGUCAGAACCAGAGCAGCAGAAAGAUAUUUUAUUUGAAGAAAGAAUGUGAAGAAAAAUUAUCAGUAUUAAAAUUCUAAACUCUUUUAUCUGAA